rnacentral:misc_RNA from 1 species
GAUAAUGAUUUCAGUUUCAGAUCACGUUUCUGGUGGCAGAGAAUAUUGAGAUAAUGGUGACCAUCCAUGCUCAGGAUUAUAUGGUGUUUAGGAUGUUUGAAGUUGUGUUUAUAAGAGACUUAAUAUUUACUGGAACUCUAAACUUUGUUUUAUUGUAAAGUUUUCCUCUAGUGCCACUCGUCCACCCCAAUAGGAGAGGGUGUUACGCAAGAUUUUGAUUAGCUGCAGGAGUAGCAUUGUAAGUUUGAGAAGAAAUGUCAAUUAGGGCACCGAUUUUCAGGACUCCCCUUUUCUUCAUCCAUCUCUGCAUAUUUUCAUGUAUCUAUAUUCCUAUCAGCUUCUAAUUCAUUGCUUGCUUAUUUGUACAGAUCGGUCCCAAUGUCUCUAUUU